GGCGCUGGAGAACUGAGGGGGGCUGCUCUCCUAGUACGAGAGGACCGGAGUGGACGCAUCACUGGGGUUCGGGUUGUCAUGCCAAUGGCACUGCCCGGUAGCUAAAUGCGGAAGAGAUAAGUGCUGAAAGCAUCUAAGCACGAAACUUGCCCCGAGAUGAGUUCUCCCUGACUCCUUGAGAGUCCUGAAGGAACGUUGAAGACGACGACGUUGAUAGGCCGGGUGUGUAAGCGCAGCGAUGCGUUGAGCUAACCGGUACUAAUGAACCGUGAGGCUUAACCUUACAACGCCGAAG
rnacentral:rRNA from 1 species